AUGACCCUGGAGAAAACUGCGACCUCGCAUGCUAACACUAUUGGAGAGAUAGAGAAGUCCGCCUCACACCUCUCGGACGAUGUCACUGCACUUCAACGUCAAGUCACCCGUCUGAGCUCUGAAGUAGAAAAACUAACUGAGAAAUGCGAAGACCUAGAAGGGCGCUCGAGGAGACACAAUAUCCGGGUCAUCGGAGUCCCUGAGGGGACCGAGGGACCCAGGCCGAGAGACUUUAUCGCCGGGUUGCUACAGGAGGUGCUAUCCCUGGAUGAGAAGCCUCUCAUUGAUAGAGCGCACUGGACCCUCCGAAGAUGGCCCGAACCUCAUGAACCACCUAGACCCUUUGUACUGAGGCUACACUACUUUCACAUGCUUGAGGACAUCCUACGCAAAGCUGUUACGGGGCAGACCCAGGGUCAGGUAUGAUUAGGUGUAUGGGUAUUUGUAUGUGUAUGGGUGUGUCGUGUGAACCUGUGCAUACGUUUAUACAGUAGGUGGCCAUCCAAAACGUUGGUUCUACCGUCGCUCGUACCGCCGCCGCGGCGUCUGCAAAGUGCAUUUGCAGCUUUUGACCCCUGAGUGGCGCUUUAACCACAAGUUUUCAAACAAGCACAUCAAAGCACAUUUUCGCGAAUAGACAUCAUCUUUGCCUCACCGAAGUGUUAUAUUUGACUGCAGUCGGGGAAAAUUAAAGAAAAAUAUUUAAUAUUCACAGAUGAAAGUUUAGUCCUUAUGAAGAUAUGUGCGUUUCUUAGAACGAAUUCAAGCAGGAUAAAUGUCAAGCCUAUGAGCCUGUGCUUAUAUUUUCUCUACACCGUAUUUUAGAUUUGACACAUGUAAAUAGUGUGCAGUAUUAUUUAUAUAAUAUGAAUUAUGUGUUAUAUUAUUCAAAAGAAAUUGUGGUUUACUUUGCAUUGGAGCAUUAAAAGUGGUAGCAUAGUGGGCUGGGCUUGCAUGUUUUAUAAAUUAUUUUCUUUAUUUUAGUAAAACGUAAGGCGCUGAAUAAUUUCGCUCCC
ensembl:lncRNA